AACAAACUGUGUUGCCUUUGCCUUUUCCCAGUUCUCUCAGGAUGAAAGCACAUCUAGGAGACUUGAUUGAUAUUUUUCAUGGUGGAACACUGGAGCAACAUCAUUAUAUUCAUGUGAAGGAGGCAGCAAGAGCCAAUGGUUUCUAAAAAGCUUCCUUCCUCAGACAUAGACAAUUCCAAGUCCUACGGCGUCUUCCAAGCAGCACCUGCUUUCAGCUACUGAAGUUACAGUCAACUAAAACAAACAAACAGAAAAAGGAAUCUUGAAAAUAAAUCAGCCUAAUGCAUCUCAUCUGUAAAAUUAUAUUCCUUCUUGGAGAGAAAAAAUAUUUUGCAAAAGAGACUUACCAAAUAACCUCCAAAACAAACUGGACAGCCUCCUCAGUCUAGCUCCCAGACCCUCUCCAGAUGAUAAAAGCACAGACACAAGCAGUGCUGACCGCUUGACAACGUUUUAACUAUGCAGGUAAGAGAAAAGGGGAGGUGUGCAUUAAUUCUGGACACAUUUUAUUUUUGCGCAUGUAUACAUUUAGAAACAAUACUGCAGCAGAGUCACCACCAGAUGCCAAGUACGUAGAUUUUGGAAUUUACCUUUUUGUAGCAUUUUUAAGGAAACAUCCAACAACACACCACUCUAUUCUCCACUUGCAUUCUCUUAAAGAACAGUUAUAAACUCCCUAUUACUGACAGCAGUGUUAGCACAAGAACUGCCUAUUAUUACGUUGCGUGGAAGUGCUUGGCACAAAGCAGAUCUCAGCUGUCUAGGUGCUGCAAACCAGCCUCGGUGAAGGUCAGAAUGAACUGUAAUUUUUAGUUAGCUGUAACCAGAACCACUGCUCAAAGGAAGGCUGGGGAAAAUCUUGGACCCACAUGCAGACUCACUGCUCUGGCCACUUCUGUGAUAAUGUCGGCAUUCCUGAAACCCUCGACUGCUAACUCCAACUGGCUUUAAACCGGAGCCCCUUUCCUGUCAAAAUCCCAAGACACAGAA
rnacentral:lncRNA from 1 species